GUCGGCUGGGUGGACGUGGCUUCUCAACGUCCUCCGCCUCGCCUGGACUGCGAUCUCGCCCAGGGGAUCGAGCGGACCACCAGGUCCCUGAACGCCUCUUUCGGUCGGGUCUCCUCCGUCCGGUUCGCCGAUGAUUUGGCAGCUCACGCGGAGCCCUCCACGUCACGCGCCCAACCCGGAGCUUUCUCCGGCGACCGCCGUCCCGGAAGAUACCCGUCGCACACCUCCCGCCCGGACCCCGACGACCACUGGCACUAUGUUCGUCGAAGCAUGUUUUAAGAACGCACAUUCUAAAAAAAAAAGUAUACACGGGCACUCUUUUUAGAGGAGUCAACCGAUGUCCCAUAUAGAACUCCUUGGGGAGUCAUGUGAUCCACUAAAUCGGGGACUUCAAGUACUCCAGAUAUAUGGGGAGUACUUAAAGUCUAGCACAUCACUCGAAUCCCCCCCCCCCCCCCCCCCCGACUCAUUCGACACAUCCUACCAAGUGCGUUUUUCAGCGCCCUAUGUUACGCCUAGGGCUUCGAGUGAUCCCCUUAAUUAGGGGUGUUGCUUGACUCAAUUUCUAACUCCCGGGUGUUUACUCGAGUCCCCUUAUUAUGGGUGCUGUUUAACGCCUUUUUUCAAAACUCUGGAGUUCACACGACUCCCCAUAUUAUGGGUGGCAUACUCCCUGGGAGCCUUUACGGCUCCCAGGGAGUCUCAAUUCCCCGGUCCAGUGGAGCACUUUAACACCAUAGGAGUCACGUAACUCCUAUAAAUAUAGGAUUUUUUUCUUUUGCUCCCUGGGUGUUCGGCUGACACCCUCAUAUACACCCCAAACAAUUUAGUGCGUCUACUUUACCGUCAGGCACUUGGGGGAGCCAAUCGCUGCAAUCUAAGGGUGGGGCUUGGCGAACGAAUUGGCGUAAAUAUGUUAUGACC